rnacentral:rRNA from 1 species
AUGCACGCUGGCGGCGUGCCUAAUACCUGCCAGUCGAGCGAACAGAUAAGGAGCUUGCUCCUCUGACGUUAGCGGCGGACGGGUGAGUAACACGUGGAUAACCUACCUAUAAGACUGGGAUAACUUCGGGAAACCGGAGCUAAUACCGGAUAAUAUAUUGAACCGCAUGGUUCAAUAGUGAAAGACGGUUUUGCUGUCACUUAUAGAUGGAUCCGCGCCGCAUUAGCUAGUUGGUAAGGUAACGGCUUACCAAGGCAACGAUGCGUAGCCGACCUGAGAGGGUGAUCGGCCACACUGGAACUGAGACACGGUCCAGACUCCUACGGGAGGCAGCAGUAGGGAAUCUUCCGCAAUGGGCGAAAGCCUGACGGAGCAACGCCGCGUGAGUGAUGAAGGUCUUCGGAUCGUAAAACUCUGUUAUUAGGGAAGAACAAAUGUGUAAGUAACUAUGCACGUCUUGACGGUACCUAAUCAGAAAGCCACGGCUAACUACGUG